rnacentral:rRNA from 1 species
ACACUCCUGCGGGAGGCAGCAGUGGGGAAUAUUGCACAAUGGGCGCAAGCCUGAUGCAGCCAUGCCGCGUGUAUGAAGAAGGCCUUCGGGUUGUAAAGUACUUUCAGCGGGGAGGAAGGCGAUAAGGUUAAUAACCUUGUUGAUUGACGUUACCCGCAGAAGAAGCACCGGCUAACUCCGUGCCAGCAGCCGCGGUAAUACGGAGGGUGCAAGCGUUAAUCGGAAUUACUGGGCGUAAAGCGCACGCAGGCGGUCUGUCAAGUCGGAUGUGAAAUCCCCGGGCUCAACCUGGGAACUGCAUUCGAAACUGGCAGGCUAGAGUCUUGUAGAGGGGGGUAGAAUUCCAGGUGUAGCGGUGAAAUGCGUAGAGAUCUGGAGGAAUACCGGUGGCGAAGGCGGCCCCCUGGACAAAGACUGACGCUCAGGUGCGAAAGCGUGGGGAGCAAACAGGAUUAGAUACCCCUGUAGUCCCAUGAU